UUUGGAUGCUAGGAAGGAGGAAAAGUCCUCAGUAAGAGGGUCCACUGGCUAGAAUGCCCAAACACGAAGGAUCUAAAGCUAGUGGACGUCAUCAGAGAGCAAGGUGUGGAGCUGGUGGGAAGACAUUCCCAUCACCCCUGGGAGAGAAGGGUGGUUUACUAAAGCGGGCCGGGGAACAUGCUUCUGUAAAUUCACAAAGCCCUCUGGUCCGCUACAGGAGAAUAAAGGGCAGAGAAUAAACCCCAGACAAGGAUUCACUGGUCUCGCGGACAGAGGUUGGAAAUGGACUUCGAUGCUAAUGUACCACCUUUGAAAUAUUUCUGGCGGGAGCUCGGAGGAUCAAGAGGAAUGACCAAGUUACCUGCUGAGUCAGGGCUUGUGGACUUUCGCAAGGAGGCACCACUACCGUCUCUGCGAGGAACUCUAGCUGGAAAAUGCAAGCUCUCAGCAGAGGAAAUGCAACCUUCCCUUCUCUGGGCUAGAAGGGUGGUCGUGGUAGGCUGGGGGAAAUGAUGGCGUGGUCUCUCUCUGGUAGGCAGAUCUGUUUCCUGAGUCCCUGAGCUGCAGCUGUUGAGUUUCCAGACACAAACAAGUACGUAUUCUGUGAGCCUCGCUGAGGCCACACAGCAAGGAAGAGCCAAGCUGGAUUCCAUUCUGCUUUGCGCAUCAGCAGCCCAGCUGCCAGCUGAACUCCAGGGCAAGCUCUGCGCCUGGUAACGAUGCAGAGGCUCUAGAAUGUCAUUUCUUGAUAUCGUCUGUUCCUUUUCGCCCACUAUGACCAAGGACUGAGCUCCCUCUACACCAGACCAUAUGGAAGUCGAGCUGGGGGCUUCAUCUGACCAGGAAGAGAUGAGGCAGCCCUUUAGAUGACCCUAAUGCCCACUGAAGUUUGAGAACCACUGGUCUAGAUUAUGCAGAUAAAGACUUGCCUGAAUGACCUGGAUUCAGCAGACGUGAGAACUCGGGGGAGGCCCCAGAGGUGCCAGCUCCCCUGGCUGUGCUCAAGGUGAGCCGACCUAGUUUUAGCCUCUGUCCUUGGGCCCUGGGUCCCCCGCUCUUUCCGAAGAAAUACCGAACCAGAUCAGACCACUCCACUGGCGCAAGAUCACACUUUAGUUCAGAGACACAUUUGCAUAAAUACUUGAAAUGGAUCCACCCCUGCAGGUGGGAGCCUGAGAGCACGGGGCUCUCCACAAUCCUGUGACUCGCAGCCCUCCAGGCGAUGGGUUUAAUACUGAAGACACUCCUGGUCAUUUCUGAAGAGAGUUCGGGGUGCAGCUACAGUGCUUGCUUUGACACUCACCAUCCACCCCUACUCCACAUCUCUCUUUGACUAAUUUUUUCCCCUCUGAGGUAGAUUAUUUAACGAGGGAACCAAGUAGAAAUAACUUUUUUCGUUUAACUUUGUUAGUCCUUUGCAAACAGGCUGACCGAGUCUUCUUUUUGGGUCCGUGAGAGCACUCUUUACCUUUUAACCUAUGCCCUCUACUUGAACCCAAGCAAGGUCCAACCCACUAGAUAGUAGACAUUAGCAUCUGUGGUCUGUCUCCUCUCCUCUCCUCCCCCCAUGGAUUCAUGCCCAGCUGCAGCAGUGGGGGGCCUGGGUAGGCAGGCCACGCCACCCCCAGACGUGGGGUCACCGUGGCGUGACCCUGGUCUGCACCCCGCGCCCCGAGUCCAUGAGCAUAAGCCUGGCCCGCCCGCCGGAUCACGGGGCGCACGGCUGGCUUCCGCACGGCUUGGCAUCCUCAGGCUUCAGAGCCUCGUCGCAGGUGGUGGAGGCCUGGCCUCCGGGGUCGCGGCACUCCACCGCCCGCCGCUGCCAGCCGGCCCCGCAGCUGCUGGAGCACUCAGACCAGUCUCCCAGGACCCACUGCGCGUUGAGCAGGGGCUGGAUGACGUUGGUCGUCGCUCUCUCUUUGCUGCUCUGUAUGCUGAAGUUCACGUCGUUAGGGACAAAGAAGGUAUACUUGACUUUGGGGGGAAAGAGCUCCCCAGGGGCUGUCAGGAGCUGCACGGUCAGGGGCUCAGGCAGCGGCCAGAAGCUCUGCAGCCGCUCCAGGGAGGUGAUGGAGCCGCUGUACUUGAGGAUGGUGCCCUUCACCAGGAUGUCCUGUUCCACGGCGGAGAUGGCCAGGUUUCCAUUGAGCAGGUACUGCCCGUCGGCGGUCUUCAAGGCCAGGUAGUUGCCGUCGUUCUGGAUCCCUGGGUGGCUCCGCUGUUUCACGUCGAUGUUAGUGGCGCCGGCUGGGAUGGUGACGAUGUCAUUGUAGCCAUAACUAUGACAGGAAGACACCUUUAGGACCCGUGGCUCCCCAGCCCGGUACUCAGGAAGUCAGCAUGCAGGGACUGGGGGUGGGCAGACAAAAGUCUGCAAGCAAAUAAGGAAGUAGUCGCCCCAAAGUGCCCAGUAAAUUAGCUGCGGAGGCCGACAGGAACACUUGGUACACUGGGACUUUUGCUUGGCCUGGGAGCUCUAUCUCAAAUGUUUGGAGUUUAGAUCUCAACAAUAGCACAGAGGGGAAGGCAGCCUAGAGGGGGCGAACGCUGAGCCGUUGCUGCCAAACCUGGGCUCUUGGCUGAAAAGAGAUCUCAGGCACGUGCAGCUCCUUGCAGUGGUGUAAACUUUGGCCACUUUCAUCCCAGAGCUCACACCCAUGUGGACAAAUCUGAUCCACACAGCGAUUCCAGAAGCUGACCAGACGGACGCCUCACGCCACCUCCUAGAGUCCAUCAGGUGCUGGUAUUUGGUUAUCGUGGCUCUAGGGCAGGGCGCAGGGCAACCCAGCCUGCUCUGAGGAGCCUUCUUCUGGGCGUGCCCAGCACCAUGAGCGGGGCUGUCUGGGGUGCUGGGAUGCUGUUUGGGGAAAAUGUUUCAACUUUAUCGUGGGUCUGGGGCUUUAUGUGGG